rnacentral:rRNA from 1 species
UACAGAGGCCCCAAGCGUUACUGAGAAUCACUGGGUUUAAAGGGUGCGUAGGUGGCGCGUUAAGUCCGUUGUGAAAUCCCUUGGCUCAACCAAGGAAAUGCUUCGGAUACUGGCGUGCUUGAGGCCGGUAAGGGUCACUGGAACUGACGGUGGAGCGGUGAAAUGCGUAGAUAUCGUCAGGAACGCCAAUGGUGAAGACAGGUGACUGGGCCGGUACUGACACUGAGGCACGAAAGCGUGGGGAGCGAACGGG